UCUUUGAUUUUUCUUGUACUUUAAGAAUUUUGUUAAAAUUUAUGAAAGAAAGUCAUAUUUCCCUAAAAAGAGACAAAGUUACUUUUUAGGGAAAGAUUACUUUUUGUUUGUUUUAUUAUUCUGAUAAUCUUGAAUCUUGUGAGGCUUGCGUGGGGCAAAAAGCCGCAUGGGGCAAAAGUCCGAAAAUGAUUUUACUGAUAUAUCCGUUGCAAUUUGACAAUGUCGCAACAAGUAGUUUUAGCCUUACACAUGCAUGUAUCGACGAGACAAAUAUUUCUAGUUUAAAUGAAUAAUUGUGCGAAUUAUAAGGUGUAACUAAAAACAGAUUACUUUAAAUCCGCAUGGGGCCAAAGUCUGCAGUCGCGCACUUACUUUAAUUUCAAUCCAAACAUGCUCAAGAAAUUGCAAAAUGCAAGCAAGAAGAAGCAAAACACGAUAAUCAAAAGCACUUUUACAAUAUACUGCAAUCCCACCCCCUCGGUCCAACCGAUCUAGAUGCCCUAGUCACCAAUAAAUCUUGAUGCCAUUUAAGUCCUUACAAUUGACAAUUUGGACUAGCGCAUCGAUGCCUAAUUGAAAAAGUUAAG